rnacentral:rRNA from 2 species
AUGGGCGAAAGCCUGAUGCAGCGACGCCGCGUGAGGGAUGACGGCCUUCGGGUUGUAAACCUCUUUCAGCAGGGAAGAAGCGAAAGUGACGGUACCUGCAGAAGAAGCGCCGGCUAACUACGUGCCAGCAGCCGCGGUAAUACGUAGGGCGCAAGCGUUGUCCGGAAUUAUUGGGCGUAAAGAGCUCGUAGGCGGCUUGUCACGUCGGUUGUGAAAGCCCGGGGCUUAACCCCGGGUCUGCAGUCGAUACGGGCAGGCUAGAGUUCGGUAGGGGAGAUCGGAAUUCCUGGUGUAGCGGUGAAAUGCGCAGAUAUCAGGAGGAACACCGGUGGCGAAGGCGGAUCUCUGGGCCGAUACUGACGCUGAGGAGCGAAAGCGUGGGGAGCGAACAGGAUUAGAUACCCUGGUAGUCCACGCCGUAAACGGUGGGCACUAGGUGUGGGCAACAUUCCACGUUGUCCGUGCCGCAGCUAACGCAUUAAGUGCCCCGCCUGGGGAGUACGGCCGCAAGGGCUAAACUAGGGGGAAAUGUGACGGA